UACGGGGGGGGCAAGCGUUGUUCGGAUUCACUGGGUUUAAAGGGUGCGUAGGUGGGUAAGUAAGUCAGUGGUGAAAUCUCCGGGCUUAACCCGGAAACUGCCAUUGAUACUAUUUGUCUUGAAUACUGUGGAGGUCAGCGGAAUAUGUCAUGUAGCGGUGAAAUGCUUAGAUAUGACAUAGAACACCAAUUGCGAAGGCAGCUGGCUACACAAAUAUUGACACUGAGGCACGAAAGCGUGGGGAUCAAACAGG
rnacentral:rRNA from 1 species